GGGCCGUUUUCCCGGGGAUUAUUGGGCGUAAGAGCUCGUAGGCGGUUUGUCGCGUCUGCCGUGAAAGUCCGGGGCUCAACUCCGGGUCUGCGGUGGGUACGGGCAGACUAGAGUGAUGUAGGGGAGACUGGAAUUCCUGGUGUAGCGGUGAAAUGCGCAGAUAUCAGGAGGAACACCGAUGGCGAAGGCAGGUCUCUGGGCAUUAACUGACGCUGAGGAGCGAAAGCAUGGGGAGCGAACAGGAUUAGAUACCCUGGUAGUCCAUGCCGUAAACGUUGGGCACUAGGUGUGGGGGACAUUCCACGUUUUCCGCGCCGUAGCUAACGCAUUAAGUGCCCCGCCUGGGGAGUACGGCCGCAAGGCUAAAACUCAAAGGAAUUGACGGGGGCCCGCACAAGCGGCGGAGCAUGCGGAUUAAUUCGAUGCAACGCGAAGAACCUUACCAAGGCUUGACAUGGACCGGACCGGGCUGGAAACAGUCCUUCCCCUUUGGGGCCGGUUCACAGGUGGUGCAUGGUUGUCGUCAGCUCGUGUCGUGAGAUGUUGGGUUAAGUCCCGCAACGAGCGCAACCCUCGUUCCAUGUUGCCAGCGCGUAAUGGCGGGGACUCAUGGGAGACUGCCGGGGUCAACUCGGAGGAAGGUGGGGACGACGUCAAAUCAUCAUGCCCCUUAUGUCUUGGGCUUCACGCAUGCUACAAUGGCCGGUACAAAGGGUUGCGAUACUGUGAGGUGGAGCUAAUCCCAAAAAGCCGGUCUCAGUUCGGAUUGGGGUCUGCAACUCGACCCCAUGAAGUCGGAGUCGCUAGUAAUCGCAGAUCAGCAACGCUGCGGUGAAUACGUUCCCGGGCCUUGUACACACCGCCCGUCAAGUCACGAAAGUUGGUAACACCCGAAGCCGGUGGCCUAACCCCUUGUGGGAGGGAGCUGUCGAAGUGGGACUGGCGAUUGGGACUAAGUCGUAACAAGGUAACC
rnacentral:rRNA from 1 species